rnacentral:lncRNA from 1 species
GCCCCCAGAUGUGACGGCUGGGUCAAAUUUUUAAGAGCCAUCUUUCCUAAAAUUGGGGUCGGGUCCACCCUAAAAAUAAAAGGAAACCUUAGGGCAAGUGUCCUACAAUUUUGGGCCCCUCAUAAUUUUUUAACAAUGGCCCGAUGUGCAAAAGUUUGUCUAAAAAGUUUAAACAAUUAAAAUUACAAUACAACUAAAAUUUAAAAUGUCUAAUUUAAGAGUCUUGAAUUUAUUUGGUGUCCUCCAAAUGUCCCAAAUUGUGUUUCCAAAAUUUUCCCUGAAAAUAAUAAUGCAAAUAAUU